GGCCGGUGAUGUAAGAAAAUAUUUGCUACUCUUGAUGGGUGUUUUGAAACACCCACUGAUGAAUUAUUAUCCACCAAGAUCUCUGAGGCC
rfam:Punica granatum cultivar Dabenzi scaffold7, whole genome shotgun sequence.